CACGUAGGGCGCAAGCGUUGUCCGGAAUUAUUGGGCGUAAAGAGCUCGUAGGCGGUCUGUUGCGUCCGCUGUGAAAACUCGGGGCUUAACCCCGAGCCUGCAGUGGAUACGGGCAGACUAGAGGUAGGUAGGGGAGAAUGGAAUUCCCGGUGUAGCGGUGAAAUGCGCAGAUAUCGGGAGGAACACCGGUGGCGAAGGCGAUUCUCUGGGCCUUACCUGACGCUGAGGAGCGAAAGCGUGGGGAGCGAACAGG
rnacentral:rRNA from 1 species